AUCUGUCUUAACUAUUAUCUGUUACCAUCUAUUAUCUAUUAAUAGCUAAUACCUUAACUAUUAUCUAUUAUUCCUUUUCAUUUUAGCUUGUCUGGUGAAGUGUUGACAAGUUUUAAUAUUUCUUAAGUAUGAAGUUAAAAAAUAGUACUUAAUAUUUACAGAUAAAGGACUUCAAAUAUGUGUAUUAUGUUGCGUAUAUGCCGUUAUAUAUAUAUGCUUGCGCAGAGGAUCAUUUUCAUUUGGCAAAUUAUGUGCAGGUAAGCAUUUUUUUGACUCAAAACUGUACAAGGUUCUGGGGCAACAAAGUAAAAUGCCCCAUGUCUGUAAGUUUUACAGCUUGGUUGGGGAGUGAGACAAGAGCGGAUUAAUUUGAACACAGAAAGUGCUCUGCUGGGUGCUGUGGGGACGUCAGGACUUCAGGGGAUGUUUCCUGGAUGAGACCACAUCCAAGCUGGGUCUUCUAGGGUUGUUGAAGGUUUUCUUUUUUUGUUUCAUUUCUGUGCUGACAUUUUGAAUGUUCAAGUUCCGGCGUGAAGUUUAAUUUCUGCAAAGUCCUGGCUGAAUGCUGUGCUGAACAGAUGGCUGUGUGGGUGCAGAAUGGUAUGAAGUGUGUCGUCGACCCUUGUGAUUGCAUGGCUGCCCGGGAGCUGAAGCCGCUGCUGUCAUCCGGCAUCAUGAGAAUGUACCUCGUAUUGCUGGCCUGGGAAAAGAUCCAAAUUCAAAAUUCGAAGUACAGUUUCUACUGAAUGUGUGUUGUUUUUGCACCCCUGUAAAGUCAAAAAAUCAUUUAAGUUGAACCAUCAUCAGCCGGGACUGUAUUUCCAUCACUCGUGGUGGGGUCCCUGCCUUUUCCCCCCGUGUACUGCCACCACUCGGCCCCUCUUGCCCUCGUCCCCUCAUCAUACAGUUUCCACCUGACUCUGCCUUCACAUGGGUCCUGAUGCUGGCCUCGGAUGCUUAUUUCUCUGCUUUCCUGAAAGCUGAACUUCUGUCUGUGUCUCCCACUUACACUGCAGGUAUGCGUUAUAGGGAACUUACUUGGUUCUCCUUGUCUGUAUGGUCUUGGGAAGAUUAUGAAAGAGCUUCAGAUUUAGGUAGCUGCCAAUAUUUCUUGGAAAACCAGAAGCCCAGCUACCUCCCCUUAAAUAUGAACGCACAAGAAUUAUGACAUCUGAGCAAAACUUACAACGUGAAAGAGAAAAAUUAAACACAAAGUAAGGUUAAAUACUGUAUCUAUUAAAUAGAACAGGUUAUUGUAUCCUACACACACACACAUUAAGAGAAGAAAAGAGAGCUCUUGGAAAUUAACACCAAACCCUCAGUUGGUGUAACUGGAAAAGAGAUGUAAAACAAGUAAAGGACAAAGACACACGGUAACUAAGAGCAAUAUGCACAAACCAGUCGAUGCCCUGUCUGGACAACAGAAGUUCCAGAAAGAGCAAGACAACGGAGAGGAGAAAUAAUCUCAUAGUUUAAGAAAACAUCCUCAAAUGUGGGGCGUGAAGGUACAGUCUGCGUGCCUGCUACACUGGCUGAGAAAGAGGAUCGUGCUAAAGCAUGCUGUAACACUACAGAGACCCGGGGGCGAAGAAUCAUUCCAGGAGCUUCCACAGAGGACAAGCAGGCUACAUAUAAAGAGUGAGGAGUAGGAACGGCCUCGGAUUUCUCUGCAACCACACUGGAACCUAAAACCAGUGAGGCAAUGCCUUCAAAACGCUGAAGGAAAAUGAUUUCCCAACUUGAAUGGUAAGCUCCAUUCUAGUUACCAACGAAGCGUGAGGGCAAAAUAAAGACACUGGUCUUGGGAAAUUUACCACCCACAUACUCUUUUUCCCAGGAAGACAUGUGAAGGACAUGCUCUACCAGACCGAGGAAAUCAGCCGAGAAAGGGGAAGAUAAGGGAUCCAGGAAACAGGAGACCCAACAGAGAGUGGUGGAGGGGGUCUCCAGAACAAUGGGCAAAGGAGACCUCAGGAAGACGGCUGUCUACCAGGCAGAGAGGACACCCGCUCUGGACUGCUGCAGGUUAGAAGCCACAGGAAAAGUAUGAAAAAUCAGGACAUCAGGAUAAAAGCAAAAACUGUGGAAGAAAAGUCGUCACAAUUUCCUCCGUGUAAACCAUGCUCUGAAUAUCACCAGUAGUCUUGACUAUCAACCUGAUCUAGGUUACGACAGAAUUACAAAAGGAAGAUGGGGGGGUAUGGAGGCGUGCUGUACAUGUUUGGCGGGGAUGGUGAGGGAGGCCGGACAGGAACCUACAUUUUUAUCUUUCAUGUGGGGAACCGGUCAGUACAUAAGGUCUCACACUGAAGAUCCAACAUGGAGCAAUGGGCUUAUGUUACUUAGACCUCUUCUGGCCACUAAUUAAACCCAAAGAGUCAUGUUAAGAGUUAAAUUCUCAGAUGAAGAACAGGAGGGGCUGUUUUCCUUAAAAACCCUUACAGAACAAGUUGACUUGGCUACAUGUACAUGUAUAGCUUUGACUAUGAAAACAGGGGCGCCUGGACAGCUCAGUCAGUACAGCAUGUCACUUUUGAUCUUGGGGUUGGGAGUUUGAGCCCCACGCUGGGUGCAGAGAUUACUUAAAAAAUAAUUUUUAAAAAGUUACACAAGGAAAGGAAAGCCGAUGCUCACUACCGCUUACUAGCUCCGUGACUGUGAGCCAAUCACUGCGCUAUCCUGUUGCAAUUCUAAACGGAGAUGAGGUUUGCUUGGCCUACUCUGCUGGUUAUGAGGGAAAAAAAUGUAGAGGGAUUUUAUGGAACUCGAUAAUAACAGUAAUUAACUUUGGCAGGACAGGUCCUAAUCCCAAUGAAAAGACCUGAUCCAGUAACGCCCUAUCUAAUAAACUUUACACCUUGUUUAGAGUUAAAAGAUCACCCGUUCGAUAGAAGGCGCUUUGGCUGCUGGCAGCUGUUAGGGCUCCACCUGUCUUGGGAAGUGGUUUCUUCUUGUUUUCUCCUUACAAAACUUUUUCCAGCUCGUGAGGCCAGGCCCUUCACGAACAUCACUGGUCCAAUGGUUUAUCCUUGGGCACUUGCCCUAUUUCAAGUGAAAUUUACUUGCUGGUGGAUCAGGAAAAGAAUAUGCAUUAAAACCAACAGCAGAAUUUGGGGAACAGAUUCCUGACUUCAGAUGUGGUAGUGGAGACUGGGCAUUUACUCCUGAGUGGUUAUAAACUAACAGAGAAACUCCAGUCUACAAGUCCAUUAUUAAAUGUACGGUACAAAUACUGACCAUCGGAGUCUACAGCCACAGUGGAGCGCUCCAUCCUUGGGCCAUGUGCACCUUGGGAAAUAAUCUGUACUUCAUUAGGUCUCACACAGCUCUGCAGGUCCGGAGCUACUGUGUUUAUUUUCAGAUGAAGAAGUCCCCAGCGGUCACAUAAUUAAGUUCCUGGGCCAGAACUGAAGAGAGAUUUGUCAGUCCUGUGCUCUUUUCACAACACUACCUAAUUUAAUCAGUCUUCGUCUCAGACUCAUCUGCCCUCUCCUUUCAUCCACCCAGCUUUAUUUCAGUACAGUUAUCCAAAUGCCCCAAGAGAGGCUGGAAAAUAAUGAGAACACCACACUAAAAGUUUCUUAGAUAAGAGAUAAUGGAACGUGUCUAUUGAUCUCACACGACAAGAGCUCUUAUAUUUUAGUCCAUGACCACACAAAGUAAACUUUUGUGCACACAUAGAUAGGACACCUGUGACAAUUAUAGAUCUAUGCCUGAUGCCCCUUCUUGUUUGUUGCAGAGUGGGUGAUACAGAUAUACUCAGCAGCCCUGGUGUUAGGGUAGUUUUAAAAAUUCUGUUGAAAGGGCAAGAAUCCAAUUGUUGAGAAUCCAAACGGAGAGCUCAUGGAUCCCAUGGACAGGCCAAUCACCCCCAGGACGUCUCUAGGAUUCUUAGACUCCUGUGUUUACUGUUGUCUCUCUUUCCCUCGUUAUCAUUUAUAAUAAAAAGUCAUCCCAGACAUUCUGGACUGAGCCAGAGAUGUGUGAUAGAAAAGCACAUUAUCUGAUAGAAGGGCCCAAUAAGACUGUCCGUGUAGGAUAAAAGAUUUAAAAACCGAAAGAAAAAAAAAAAAGACAGCUGGAAAUAACAACCAUAAUUUUUCAAGAACAUUUAUACAUCUUUUUAAUUAGAUUAGCUUUACAAGCAACUUGAGAGCUCUUUCGUAACGGAACACUGCUUUUCAAAUUACAUGACUUUCCCGUCUAUCUGUAUAUGAAUCCUGAAAUUCUUUGCCUGCUGUUGAUAAAGGUCUGUGUUUUACAGCCGGUUAAUGUAUUCAAUGAAAAACAGCAUUAGAAGCUUUGUCUUUAACUAGGAUUAAACAUAUAUAGGCCACAAGUAGUUUUAAAUUUUGUUUUAAACAGAGUCCUGUUUGGUGACAAGUUAACGGUCCCGCUAACAUGAAACGAACAGGUUUUAAAUGGAUAUUAAAGAAAUGGCUCUCCUGGAUUCCUUGAUCCUUUCACAAUGAUCUCCAAGGAAUUAGAUAAAAUUUUCCGAAAAGUACAAAUGUUAAGACCUGCCUGGAAAGCACAACCCACAUAGAGUAGAAUCUGACACUUUGCACAACUGCAGAGACACACAUGUGAAUGACACAGGGGCUCCCACCCUGACAAUCACACAACCCCCCCCUCCCCCCAUCAACAGAACAGUCUCCACUAGACCUAAACAUGACAGUGUUUCUGAGUCAAGGCCGAGUGCAGUGUGCCGCACGCAGACCAGAUGGCAAAGACAGCUUGCUCUCCCAGGUCCGGCUGGCAGAGGCACUUACUAGAGAGAUGUUACAUUGCAUUAUCUGGAACAGAGAGAGGAAGUGGAACAAAACUGAACACGGGCAAGGAAAAACAACCAUAAGCUCUAAUUUUCUCCAAGUUCUAAGUGAGAUCACGAUACUGAAUAUUUAACCCCACCCUAAGUCCACACUGUUGGUCUCACUAGAUUUUUUUUUCAUGUUUUACAUGAAUAGCAAUCUUUUAAUAAAAAUUACUGAGCUUUCCAUAGAAAAGGUCUCUAAUUGAAUACAAACUAUACAGAUACUAAAACCGUCAUAAGUUGAAAUAUACAGAAAUAUUUCUGUACACACAUUUUGGCAAAGAUUAAGGACAGAGAUAGAAAACUGAAGUGGGCAAGGUCUAGACCCUAAUUCACGUUAAAUACGGAUACCACCCUCUGGGCUCUGCUAAAGACUCGCCCAGGAAAAUGAAGUCUAAUGUAUCCAUCCCAGUUCAUAUAUCAAAAAACAGAAGUCUGGGAGGCCUUGUGUGAUACUGUAAUAUUCCCUCUUCUUCUGAAAAGUAAAAGAAAAAUCAUAAAACAGAAAAAAUCAUCUGGUUUUCCACUUCUUUUGUUUUUUUAAGCUAAACACACACCUUCCAGUACUGACAAGGAGGCGAGUAUCACGCCUAGGGAAUACCUGCCUCAGCACUGGUCUGCACUACCUCGGCUCAGCCCUGGCGCUCUGUCCGCCCGCCCCCGCCCCCGCCCCGACGCCAUCCAACAGAAGCAAGGUUCUGAUCUGCACAUCACAUGGGUCGCAGGAGGAGGAAAACAUAACAGCAAAAUCGGAAGUACGACUGACUGGCUGGGAAGGAGAGCUCUUAGGAAGGGGACGUUACCUUCUACAUCUACAGAAUAUACCUGAAAGCGUGAGAAAGCCCUUUAUCUCGGGAACUUGAUGCGGAGGGCAGAUCAAGUUCAUUUAGUGCCAGUCACUUAAGUCUUGUAAAAAUUCUAACUUAAAAAAUAAAGCCUUCUGGGUAUUUUUUCUUA